rnacentral:rRNA from 1 species
CCUACGGGGGGCUGCAGUAGGGAAUCUUCCACAAUGGACGAAAGUCUGAUGGAGCAACGCCGCGUGUGUGAUGAAGGGUUUCGGCUCGUAAAACACUGUUGUAAGAGAAGAAUGACAUUGAGAGUAACUGUUCAGUGUGUGACGGUAUCUUACCAGAAAGGAACGGCUAAAUACGUGCCAGCAGCCGCGGUAAUACGUAUGUUCCAAGCGUUAUCCGGAUUUAUUGGGCGUAAAGCGAGCGCAGACGGUUAUUUCAGUCCGAAGUGAAAGACCACAGCUUAACUGUUGCAGUGCUUUGGCAACUUGAUAACUUGAGUGCCGUAGAGGAGAGUGGAACUCCAUGUGUAGCGGUGACAUGCGUAGAUAUAUGUCAGAACACCAGUGGCGAAGGCGGCUCUCUGGACUGUAACUGACGUUGAGGCUCGAAAGUGUGGGUAGCAAACCGGAUUAGAUACCCCAGUAGUC